UACGAAGGGGGCUAGCGUUGUUCGGAAUUACUGGGCGUAAAGCGCACGUAGGCGGAUCGAUCAGUCAGGGGUGAAAUCCCAGGGCUCAACCCUGGAACUGCCUUUGAUACUGUUGAUCUGGAGUAUGGAAGAGGUGAGUGGAAUUCCGAGUGUAGAGGUGAAAUUCGUAGAUAUUCGGAGGAACACCAGUGGCGAAGGCGGCUCACUGGUCCAUUACUGACGCUGAGGUGCGAAAGCGUGGGGAGCAAACAGG
rnacentral:rRNA from 1 species